rnacentral:rRNA from 1 species
AUUAAAUUUGCUGCAGUUAAAAAGCUCGUAGUUGGAUUUGUGGUGUGGUGCGUCUGGAGCCAGCGUGGUCCUUUCGAGGGCUGUGUUGUGUGAUCCGGGUAAGCGUGCCUGCCAUUUGUUCCUCUUCUUCACAUCUUCGGAUGGGAUGUUGGGGGAACCCUUUACUUUGAGCAAAUUAGAGUGUUCCAAGCAGGCCGUUCUAGGGCCGUGAAUACAUGAGCAUGGAAUAAUAAGAUAGGACUCGGGUUCUAUUUUGUUGGUUUCCAGGAUCUGAGUAAUGAUUGAUAGGGACGGUUGGGGGUGCUAGUAUUCAACGGCCAGAGGUGAAAUUCUUGGAUUCGUUGAAGACUAACUUAUGCGAAAGCAUUCACCAAGGACGUCUUCUUUAAUCAAGAACGAAAGUUGGGGGAUCGAAGACGAUCAGAUACCGUCGUAGUCUCAACUAUAAACGAUGCCAACUAGGGAUACGUGGACGUUUGUUCGAAGACUCCAUGUGCACCUGACGAGAAAUCCAAGUUUUUGGGUUCCGGGGGGAGUAUGGUCGCAAGGCUGAAACUUAAAGGAAUUGACGGAAGGGCACACCAGGAGUGGAGCCUGCGGCUUAAUUUGACCCAACACGGGGAAACUUACCAGGUCCAGACAAUAAGAGGAUUGACAGAUUGAAGAUCUUUCUUGAUUUAUUGAGUGGUGGUGCAUGGCCGUUCUUAGUUGGUGGAGUGAUUUGUCUGGUUUAUUCCGUUAACGAACGAGACCUCGACUUGCUAAGUAGGGUUGGAUAACGUGAGUUAUUUCUUUUGAAUUCUUCUUAGAGGGACUCUCGGUGCGUAGCCGAUGGAAGUUCGAGGCAAUAACAGGUCUGUGAUGCCCUUAGAUGUUCUGGGCCGCACGCGCGCUACACUGAUGUGUUCACUGAGCACCUUGUGAAAGAGCCUUGGCCGAGAGGUCCGGGGAAUCUGUGAAAGCACAUCGUGAUGGGGAUAGAUUAUUGCAAUUAUUAGUCUUGAACGAGGAAUUCCUAGUAAACGCGGGUCAUCAGCUCGCAUUGACUACGUCUCCGCCCUUUGUACACACCGCCCGUCGCUACUACCGAUUGAAUGAUUUAGUGAGCAUCGCGGAGAUUGCUUGUGUGGGGGUGACCCUGCGUGAGUGUUUGAAGCGGCGCAAACUUGACCA